CGUCUGUCCUUCCUGGCCUCUAUCUGUCUUUCCAGGCUCCGUCCGUCCUUCUUCCCAGCCUCCCGUCCAUCCGUCCUUCCCGGCCUCCCUCCGUCCGUCCAUCUGUCCUUCCUGGCCUCUGUCCGUCUGUCCUUCCCGGCCUGUGUCCGUCCUUCUUCCCAGCCUGCCUCUGUCCGUCUGUCCUUCCCAGGCUCCGCUCUGUCUGUCUUUCCCGGGCCUCCAUCCGUCUGUCCUUCUCCCUGGGUCUCCGUCUGUCUGUCCUCCCGGCCUCUAUCUGUCCUUCUUCGCCUCCCAUCCGUCCGUCCUUCCUGGCCUCUGUCUGUCCUUCUUCCCAGCCUGCUUCCCGUCCGUCUGUCCUCCUUCCCGGCCUCCCGUCUGUCUGUUCUUCUUGGCCUUCAUCUGUCCUUCUUCCCGGGUCUCCGUCCGUCUGUCCUUCCCAGGCUCCGUCCGUCCUCCUUCCUGGGCCUCCGUCCAUCUGUCUGUCUGUCCUUCCUGGGCCUCCGUCCUUCUUUCCAUCCGUCUGUCCUUCCCGGGCCUCCCGUCUGUCUGUCUGUCCUUCCCAGCCUCCCGUCCGUCUGUCCUUCUUCCCAGCCUGCCUCCGUCCAUCCUUCCUGGCCUCUGUCUGUCCUUCCCAGCCUCCCUCCGUCCGUCUGUCCUUCUUCCCAGGCCUCCAUCUGUCUGUCCUUCCUGGCCUCCUGUCCGUCCGUCUGUCCUUCCCAGCCUCUAUCUGUCUUUCUCAGGCUCCGUCCGUCCUUCUUCCUGGGCAUCCUGUCCAUCCGUCUGUCCUUCCUGGCCUUCUGUCCGUCCUUCCUCCCAGCCUGCCUCCGUCCGUCUGUCCUUGGCCUCCCGUCCGUCUGUCCUUCUCCCCAGGUCUCCAUCCGUCCGUCCUUCCCGGCCUCUGUCUCUCCUUCCCAGUUUCCGUCCAUCCUUCUUCCGGGGCCUCCCAUCCGUCCGUCUGUCCUUCCCAGCCUGCCUCCCUCCGUCCAUCUGUCCUUCCCGGCCUCUAUCUGACUUUCCCAGGCACCCAUCCGUCUGUCCUUCCUGGCCUCCCAUCCGUCUGUCCUUCCUGGCCUCCCAUCCGUCUGUCCUUCCUGGCCUCCCAUCCGUCUGUCCUUCUUCCCGGGUCUCCAUCCGUCUGUCCUUCCUGGGCCUGACUGACUUUCCCAGGCCUCCCGUCCGUCCGUCUGUCCUUCUUGGCCUCCAUCCGUCCUUCCUGGCCUCCUGUCUGUCCAUCCUUCCCAGCUUUCUGUCCGUCCUUCCUCCCAGCCUGCCUCCGUCCGUCUGUCCUUCUUGGCCUCCCGUCCGUCUGUCCUUCCUGGACCUCCUGUCUGUCCGUCCUUCCCGGCCUCUAUCUGACUUUCCCAGGCUCCAUCUGUCCUUCCCGGCCUCCCGUCUGUCCGUCCAUCCUUCCUGGCCUCUGUCUGUCCUUCCCAGCCUCCCAUCCGUCUGUCCUUCCUGGCCUCCGUCCGUCCUUCUUCCCAGCCUGCCUCUGUCUGUCUGUCCUUCCCGGGCCUCUCAUCCAUCCGUCUGUCCUUCUUGGCCUCCAUCCAUCCUUCCUGGCCUCUCUGCGUCCGUCUGUCCUUCCCGGCCUCCAUCCUUCAUCCCAGCCUCCAUGUGUCCGUCCAUCCGUCCUCCUUCCUGGGCCUCCAUCCAUCCUUCUUCCCGGUCUCCGUCCGUCCGUCUGUCCUUCCUGGCCUCGAGGAAGGGAGGAAAUAGGUGGCCUUGAGGGACCUGGGGGUGCUAACGAGCCCACGGGGCGCUAACGAAGGAGCGAAGGCCUCAUCCUCAUCUCCAAGUCAUUAACGAUCCAAUUAACGACCUCGGCGGCCUAACGAGGCGGGUGGAUGGUGUCGUGUGUCCCCCCCCCCCCCCACUCUUUC
rnacentral:lncRNA from 1 species